UGGAUUGUCCUUUGGACAAUGGUAGGAGAGCGUUCUAAGGGCGUUGAAGCAUGAUCGUAAGGACAUGUGGAGCGCUUAGAAGUGAGAAUGCCGGUGUGAGUAGCGAAAGACGGGUGAGAAUCCCGUCCACCGAUUGACUAAGGUUUCCAGAGGAAGGCUCGUCCGCUCUGGGUUAGUCGGGUCCUAAGCUGAGGCCGACAGGCGUAGGCGAUGGAUAACAGGUUGAUAUUCCUGUACCACCUAUAAUCGUUUUAAUCGAUGGGGGGACGCAGUAGGAUAGGCGAAGCGUGCGAUUGGAUUGCACGUCUAAGCAGUAAGGCUGAGUAUUAGGCAAAUCCGGUACUCGUUAAGGCUGAGCUGUGAUGGGGAGAAGACAUUGUGUCUUCGAGUCGUUGAUUUCACACUGCCGAGAAAAGCCUCUAGAUAGAAAAUAGGUGCCCGUACCGCAAACCGACACAGGUAGUCAAGAUGAGAAUUCUAAGGUGAGCGAGCGAACUCUCGUUAAGGAACUCGGCAAAAUGACCCCGUAACUUCGGGAGAAGGGGUGCUCUUUAGGGUUAACGCCCAGAAGAGCCGCAGUGAAUAGGCCCAAGCGACUGUUUAUCAAAAACACAGGUCUCUGCUAAACCGUAAGGUGAUGUAUAGGGGCUGACGCCUGCCCGGUGCUGGAAGGUUAAGAGGAGUGGUUAGCUUCUGCGAAGCUACGAAUCGAAGCCCCAGUAAACGGCGGCCGUAACUAUAACGGUCCUAAGGUAGCGAAAUUCCUUGUCGGGUAAGUUCCGACCCGCACGAAAGGCGUAACGAUUUGGGCACUGUCUCAACGAGAGACUCGGUGAAAUCAUAGUACCUGUGAAGAUGCAGGUUACCCGCGACAGGACGGAAAGACCCCGUGGAGCUUUACUGUAGCCUGAUAUUGAAAUUCGGCACAGCUUGUACAGGAUAGGUAGGAGCCUUUGAAACGUGAGCGCUAGCUUACGUGGAGGCGCUGGUGGG
rnacentral:rRNA from 1 species